rnacentral:rRNA from 1 species
GAUAUCGGAUCACUGGGCUUAAAGGGUGCGCAGGCGGAUCGGAAAGUGUUUUGUGAAAUCCCUCGGCUCAACCGGGGAACAGCAGGGCAAACUACCGAUCUUGAGACAGGUAGGGGUCGAUGGAACCAUGGGUGGAGCGGUGAAAUGCGUAGAUAUCCAUGGGAACGCCAAUGGCGAAGGCAGUCGACUGGGCCUGUUCUGACGCUCAGGCACGAAAGCGUGGGGAGCAAACAGGAUUAGAUACCCUGGUAGUCCACGCCGUAAACGAUGCACACUAGAUCGGAGUCGCUCUGACGCGCCUCUGGUCGACGUAAAAACAUUAAGUGUGCCGCCUGGGGAGUACGGUCGCAAGGCUAAAACUCAAAUGAAUUGACGGGGGCUCACACAAGCGGUGGAGCAUGUUGCUUAAUUCGAGGCAACGCGAAGAACCUUACCUGGGUUUGACAUGCACGGAUUAACUCCUGGAAACAGGAGCCACACCCUUCGGGUGGAACGUGCACAGGUGCUGCAUGGCUGUCGUCAGCUCGUGCUGUGAAGUGUCGGGUUAAGUCCUCUAACGAGCGCAACCCCUGUCGUUAGUUGCUCACGGGUAAUGCCGAGCACUCUAGCGAGACUGCCGGUGUCAAACCGGAGGAAGGUGGGGAUGACGUCAAGUCCUCAUGGCCCUUACAUCCAGGGAUGCAAACGUGCUACAAUGGCGCGUACAGAGCGAAGCAAGGCCGCAAGGCGGAGCAAAUCGCAAAAAGCGCGCCCCAGUUCGGAUUGCAGGCUGCAACUCGCCUGCAUGAAGUCGGAAUCGCUAGUAAUCGGAGAUCAGCUACGCUCCGGUGAAUGAGUUCCUGAGCCUUGUACACACCGCCCGUCACGUCAUGGAGCCGGGAGUGCCCGAAGCCGCCAUAUUUCAGUGUGUCUACGCAGACGUGACUGGACGAGUCGUACAGUACCCG